rfam:Caenorhabditis remanei strain PB4641 contig16.35, whole genome shotgun sequence.
CCAACGGCCCUCUUUAGGGCCACAAAUCUCAAUAAUCCAAACUCG